CGCCCACCCUGCGCUGGCCACGCCCCUCGGGCCCGGGCCUGGCUGACUUGGAGUCAGUGGGUGCCCCCCGCACGCCGGGACACCCUACAGCCUUCUGGGGAAGGCGGCGCCCUUGGGACCCCCAGGCCACCGGUGGCAGGGAUGCAAUGGCCCGCGUAGGGGUGGCAGGGGCGCUUCCUCGGGAGCCUCAGCCCCUCCAGCCGCCCAGCGCCCUGCCAGGCCUCUUCCCGGCGCUCCCGCCGCCAGGCCCGCAUUAUUCACCAUCUGGGCAGCACCCAAGGCCUGGAGGGGGCGGGGCAGGUCCAGGCGGAUCGGCUCCCGGGGGUCGCCCAGACUCCAGGGCUCCAAAUUCACUGGGUGCGCUGGAACGCGGCACACAGUAGUAGUAUGCCCUGCUUAAUACAUACAGGACAUAUUUGAGGCCCCUUCCAGGGGUGGGGUGGGAGGACAGAGGGAUGGGGGGUGCACCAGACGACACAGCCAGACUGAGAAAGGUGGUCCCAGAGCAGCUUAUACAGUGGGACAAUUAUGAGCUCCAAGUGAGACCUGAAACCAGGCCUGCCCUUCAGGAUGCCCUAGGCUGGAGAAUGAACUGGACACAGGCUGUUCCAGCCCCCUGGGGUCAGGGCUGGGCCAAAGGAAGAGACAGGGCCUAGGGAAGCCCAGAGGUGAGCUAGGAAGACAUCUUGUGAGGAGAGGGCAUGGGAAGUGGGGUUUUGUAGGAUGAAUAGGAGCUCCCCAGGUCUGGGCUACGUGGCAGUGACAGGAAUUGCAUGUAUAAAGCUUUGGAGGCAAGAGAGAGCAUGAGGCCCUUGCUACACUAACUGCAAGGAGGGCAGAUGUUGGGGGAGGAGGAUGUGGGGCUGGGGCUCCAGAUGAGGGGGCAGUGAGAGACGGAGGAAGGCUGUCCUGUCCCCACUUCCUCUGUCCUCGGCCCUGAGAUAACAAGGACAAUGACUCUUCUGGGAAACAGCCUGGGCAGAGUUCAGAGAAGGACACUUGCAUUUAGCUUAAGCCUCACCACAUCUCUGCAAGGCAGGGGGUAAAGAUACUCUUAAAUUUUAGAGAUGGGGAAACUGAGGCACAAAGGGGGAACAAUGCCACGCCCAUGUGUGGGAUUGGAACAUGAGCACUGGGCUUCCCUGUCAUCUGGGGCUGGUUGCUGGUCUCCCGGUCUUGGCCCGCCCCCCGCCCCCCACCCCCCGCCAGCACUUCGGGUUCAAUGGGAGCACAGGAGGCUCUGGUGGGAGGAGUUGUGAGGGGCUGGGGGGCAGAUGGUGGGAACAGAGGCCAGGCUCAGGAUGUACCCCCGUGGCUGCGGUUUCCGGCGGGGGCCGGGCAGGGAGCGUCUAUUCUUAGCUCUGGACACAGCCAAAGUCAGGAAGCUGGGUGGGGGCGGGGGCAGCUUCCAGGACACCAGGUGGACCUCGGGCCAUGGUGGAGAGUCAUGGGGUAGAUGGGGGGGUGGUGUGCAGAGCCUACCCCUGGCCCCCACCUCCAGUCUGCCUGCAGGGUCUCGACACCCAGCUCGGAGGCCCUCCCCAGCUCACGCGCCCUCCGUAGCUCCCUGGUGCCCAGCUCCCCUAGGAUCUGGCUCCUUAGCUUGGCCUGAGCCCUGUGUGCCCCCUGCCCUGGGCACACCUGCUGCCCUGUCCUCUGCAAGGCAGCCGUCACCCUUCUCGGCCAGCAGCCCGUCUUCCCAGGCUCAGUGCCCGUGACCCUUCAGGGGUCCCAGGGCCCCAGCUCUGCUCCCUCCAGACUGGGGCCCCUGGCAAACCAUGUGUCUUGCCAGUUGGAGGACAGCCAUCUCCCUUGGGG
rnacentral:lncRNA from 10 species